GUUUGGAGUGGAAGUGUAGCGAUACAUGGAGCGGACAAAUACUAAUCGAUCGAGGACUUAACCAAA
rnacentral:rRNA from 1 species